rnacentral:lncRNA from 1 species
GGUACCACUUAAUCCCAUUUAACCGAGCAUUGUAGGCUACCGUUUUUGUGGUGGCCACCUGACAAAAGGGAAGCUGUAUGGUGAGUUUUCCAUUCUUGUGGUAGACCAAUUCACUCGUAAAGUUGUAAUUCAUUAUGUAUAGCAUGAACUGUGUUAUUAGUAAAAUUCGUACUACAUAUGAAAUGAACUGUAUGGAAUGGAUCGAUAUGGUGAGCUGAAAUAUGUAAGGUCUAUUAAACCACGCAAUAAAAAACACAAGCUGGAUACCACUUGUGAAAAUGCGGGUAAUUGUAUUCAAUGGUGUGUUCAACAUUAAAUAGUUUAGUUAGUUAUAUAAUAUCUGUCAUUAAAGUCUAUCAGAACUCACAAAUUUGUUGAGCGGGUUAUUUUGUACUCCCUCCGUCCGAAAAUACUUGUCAUCGAAAUGAAUAAAAGGGGAUGCAUCUAGACGUAUUUUAGUUCUAGAUACAUCUCUUUUUAUCCAUUUUAAUGACAAGUAUUUUCGGACGGAGGGAGUAUUGUCUUUUAGGCUAACAUCUAUUUGUCAUAUUGAAGCAGAGUGUAUAAUGCUCAAGUUUUCAACUCUUUUUGCCUCAUUUAGUUGAUUAAGUAUAUAUAUAUACACUUGUCAUAUUGAGAAACAUGUUAUAUUGCAGGCAUCAUGAAGUCGAACAAGGUCAAAGAUUGCACAGAGUUGAUUUCGUAACAAAUUUUCCUCCUGUAGAAUCAGUAAAAUCUUUGGAGAAUGUGGAAGAACAGAGAUGGUGAACAAGAUUGGAGUAGGCAUAGUUUCAUCUUACAAUGUUCUGUUGGCUGUUACAAUUGAUUCAUUCUCCAGCGACCAAUUUGGUAGGGUACAAAUUGCUGACGGCACAUUGCUGAGGCUUGACAAGCUCUGCAGUCGACACAAUUUUAGCAGCUAAUGUGUUGGAUCAUAUCCUAUCUCAUGGAUGUAAGAACUCUGUUCGGUUACCAGAAGUGUAUGACUUGCUGGAACAAAUGAGGAAACCAUGGGCUCAGCUAUUCUAAUCCAUACAAGUGCUAUGCCUCAAGAUGAACGAGGACAAGCUCUGUUCAAUGCAUUUGAGCUGUUGAUGCAUGGCAUGACAGAAGAUCUGAAAUUUGGUCAGACGGAUGGGGUAAUGAUGCGCAGCCUGGUGCUGACACAAUAUUAUUAUUACGGUGAUAGCGAGUUCAAUCCAGAUGACCCUGAAAAGCAGCUGAUUUACUGCAGAAAUUCAGAAUGUCAUGUUUUGUCAUACCUAAGGAAGCUUAAGAAGAUGGGUCUCAUAUAUACAAGGAAGAUCAUCAGAGGCUAAUGCAUCUCAAGUUCUGGAGAUUACUUUGCCAAAUUUAUCAAAUUCUUUGGGAUCACCGGAUGUUGAAAUGGAUCAAACCCGAAGAUCACCUGUGUAGAGGAGCCUGUUGUCCACUCUCUGUGGGAUGUGUGAGACACAUGUGCUUCCUUAAUGGAGUCCAAGGAAAGAGCAAGCCUGAUGCUGA